CAACAAAACCCAAAAGCCAAUUACCCUCACUCCGAAAGAAAGAAAAAACAACGUACCUCUCAACUCCAUCGACGUACAAUGUCAACUUCAUCUUCUUCUGCUAGCAAACCACAACCAAAGCUUCCACUAAACAAAUCCCCGGCGACUAUGGCCAGCCUUUCUUCGGUGCCAUCAAGGAUCGCUACGUAUUUUUCUACAACCAAGGUCGUGACUGUUCUCGAUGCCAUAAGCUUUCCGAUUCUCUUCGACAACUCCAAAGUUGAAAAACGUGACAUCUUUGAUGGCACUUACAUGCCCUCCACAGACUUCACCGGUGGCUAUUGCAUUUGCUCAUUUCUAGACCCAUCGGAACCCAAACACACUUCUCUAAAAAAAUUCUUCUUGUCUCUACUCUCUGCUAACCACAAGAAUGUUAUACCACUUUUCCAUACCCACUUCACCGAUCUAUUUGUCCAAGCCGAGGCUCAGUUGUUAAAAGAUGGCAAGUCAGACUUUAACACACUGAAUGACAAAACUUCCUUCGACUUCAUCUUUGAGCUGUUCUUCGGGAAACACCCGUCGGACACAAAUCUGGGGUCGAAAGGAUCAACCUUGGUUACCCUUUGGCUCUUACCUCAACUUACUCCUCAGAUCACACUAGGGUUGCCAAAGUUUUUCAAUGUUUUCGAAGAUUUCUUGCUUCACACGUUUCCCUUCCCGGCUCUUUUUGUCAAACCAGCUUACAACAAGGUUUACAAGGCCUUUUACGAGUCGGCAGCUAAGGCCUUGGACGAGGUUGAGAGUAAUUUCGGGAUUUCAAGAGACGAAGCAUGCCACAACCUCGUGUUCUUGGUUUGCUUCAAUGCUUAUGGUGGCAUGAAGCUUUUGUUCCCUUCCUUGUUGAAAUGGGUUGGACUAGCAGGAGAGGAUCUGCACCGCAAGCUUCGAGAUGAAAUCAGACAAGCUGUUAAAGAAGCUGGAGGUAAGAUUACUCUUGCAGCUUUGGAAAAGAUGACCCUAACCAAGUCAGUGGUUUAUGAGGCUUUGAGGAUUGAUCCUUCCGUCCCGUUCCAAUACGGAAAGGCUAAGGAGGAUCUAAUUAUCGAGAGCCAUGACGCUGCGUUUGAGAUCAAAAAGGGAGAAGUAAUCUUCGGGUAUCAGACCAUUGCUACUAGGGAUGGAAAGAUAUUCAAGAACCCGGAGGAGUUUAUAGGUGACAGGUUUGUAGGGGAGGGCGAGAAGCUACUGAAGUACGUGUGGUGGUCCAACGGCCCCGAGACGGUGAGUCCAUCCGCCGAGGACAAGCAGUGCGCCGGGAAGGAUCUGGUGGUGCUCAUGAACCGGAUGAUGUUGGUCGAGUUCUUCCUUCGUUAUGAUACUUUUACCCUCGACGUCGGGACGUUCUUGUUAGGUUCAAAAGUGACGUUCAAAACUUUGACCCCAGCUUCGUACUGAUGAACAUAAUUUGAAACUUGUCAAUCACCAAUUCUAUUUUACUUUUGCUUCUAUCAGCAUCCGAAUUAUGUACUAGUACUUCUUCCUUUUGGUCAAUAUUCUUUCUGCCAUUUUUUCAUUGAAUUGUUGGUUUCUUUUAAUUUUUGUAUUGUUUUUACUGAAGAGUUCAUUGUAAUUUGAAGAGUUUACUAAUUAAUUUACGUAUGAGUGCAUGCAUCUAACAUUUCUAUUAGUUCCUGUAUAGUUUCAUUUGUUUACAUAGUAAAACAUAUUUUUGUUUG